rnacentral:rRNA from 1 species
UACGGAGGGUGCAAGCGUUAUUCGGAAUUACUGGGCGUAAAGCGUACGCAGGCGGUUUGUUAAGUCAGAUGUUAAAUACUCGGGCUCAACCUGGGAACUGCAGCUGAUACUGGCAAGCUUGAGUCUCGUAGGGGGGGGUAGAAUUCCAGGUGUAGCGGUGAAAUGCGUAGAGAUCUGGAGGAAUACCGGUGGCGAAGGCGGCCCCCUGGACGAAGACUGACGCUCAGGUACGAAAGCGUGGGGAGCAAACAGG